AUUGAACGCUGGCGGCAGGCCUAACACAUGCGAGUCGAGCGGAUGAAGGGAGCUUGCUCCUGGAUUCAGCGGCGGACGGGUGAGUAAUGCCUAGGAAUCUGCCUGGUAGUGGGGGAUAACGUCCGGAAACGGGCGCUAAUACCGCAUACGUCCUGAGGGAGAAAGUGGGGGAUCUUCGGACCUCACGCUAUCAGAUGAGCCUAGGUCGGAUUAGCUAGUUGGUGGGGUAAAGGCCUACCAAGGCGACGAUCCGUAACUGGUCUGAGAGGAUGAUCAGUCACACUGGAACUGAAACACGGUCCAGACUCCUACGGGAGGCAGCAGUGGGGAAUAUUGGACAAUGGGCGAAAGCCUGAUCCAGCCAUGCCGCGUGUGUGAAGAAGGUCUUCGGAUUGUAAAGCACUUUAAGUUGGGAGGAAGGGCAGUAAGUUAAUACCUUGCUGUUUUGACGUUACCAACAGAAUAAGCACCGGCUAACUUCGUG
rnacentral:rRNA from 1 species